rnacentral:rRNA from 1 species
UACGAAGGGGGCUAGCGUUGCUCGGAAUGACUGGGCGUAAAGGGCGCGUAGGCGGAUGGUACAGUCAGAUGUGAAAUUCCUGGGCUCAACCUGGGGGCUGCGUUUGAUACGUGCGGACUUGAGUGCGGAAGAGGGUCGUGGAAUUCCCAGUGUAGAGGUGAAAUUCGUAGAUAUUGGGAAGAACACCGGUGGCGAAGGCGGCGACCUGGUCCGAUACUGACGCUGAGGCGCGAAAGCGUGGGGAGCAAACAGG